GUUAAUAGCACAAAAAUUAUUUGUGUCGCAGCAAAAACCAAAUUUUUUCACCCCGCUUUCCCCCUAAAUAAAAAAAACUAAUUCGCCAUGAGUGAAGCAAAGAAUUUGAUGACCACCUUCGGCAUUUUGGCCAUUUUGUUAUUCGCCCUGUAUAUCAUCUAUGCAGUAUUGUAGAUUUCUUACUAACAUGGCGCGGCGGAAGAGCAAUCCAGCAAACACCAACAACAGCAACAACAACUAAUUCAAAAUGAAUGAAGCCAGAAGUUUGUUCACCACCUUCCUUAUCCUGGCCUUUUUGCUCUUCCUGCUCUAUGCCUUCUACGAAGCCGCCUUCUAAUAACAUCAACAACAAUAUAAAAUACAAAAAAUUAUAACAAGCAAAAAAAAAUAAUAAUAAUAAUAUAAAAUGUUUUAAAAAAAAUUUAGUUCAAAGAUUUAUCUUACAUGUUGAAUUUCAAUUCCAAUACAAAAACAAAUAAUAAUGAAGAAAAAUGAAAUUAAUUGAUUAGGCUAAGCAGCUAGCAUUUAAUGGAUUUCUAUUUAGUACCCUAAGCCAGAUGACGUCAAAGGCAGCUGCCCCAAAUGGGGGCUCACUUGGAUGGGGCUCGAUUGCAAAUCAAGCGAAAAACAACUCAAAUGGUCCAUUUGCAUUUCGCCACACUUUUCCAUUUGGUGCUCGGUUCGGGUUUUUUUUUUCCCCCGAAAUACAUAUUGAUGCAACUUCCUGACCGUCAUCUGUUCUAAUCAUAAAUUGUAAUUUUGUUUUUCACUUAAAGUAUAUAUAUAUAUAUAUACAUACGUUUUAUUUUAAUAUUUCGUCGGACUUGCAAUGAAAUUUUCGAAUACAACAAAAAUUUUUGCAUAACUCUCAUAAAUAGACCAUGAUGUACAGCACGCGCCAUAAUUUUUGGAGAUUUUGAUUUUCUCAUUGCUUCAAUUUCAUAUUUUUGUUUUCGACAUUUGUUAUACAUACAUCUAAGAUUGAUUUAAUGUAAUAACUGCAUUUUAUUUUUCGUAAAUAACAACAACAAUUUAUAGAAAUGUAUCAACUAAACUUAACAACAACAAAAGCAACAAACAAACUGCAGGAAUAAAACAACAAACAAACCAAAAAGAAAAAACAAA